UGCAUCCAGCAGGAAUUGAACCCGCGACUUCCCAAUUAUGAGUUGGGUGC
rnacentral:tRNA from 2 species